rnacentral:rRNA from 1 species
AGAACGAACGCUGGCGGCAUGCCUAACACAUGCAAGUCGAACGAGACCUUCGGGUCUAGUGGCGCACGGGUGCGUAACGCGUGGGAAUCUGCCCUUAGGUUCGGAAUAACAGUUAGAAAUGACUGCUAAUACCGGAUAAUGACGUAAGUCCAAAGAUUUAUCGCCUAGGGAUGAGCCCGCGUAAGAUUAGCUAGUUGGUGGGGUAAAGGCCUACCAAGGCUACGAUCUUUAGCUGGUCUGAGAGGAUGAUCAGCCACACUGGGACUGAGACACGGCCCAGACUCCUACGGGAGGCAGCAGUGGGGAAUAUUGGACAAUGGGCGAAAGCCUGAUCCAGCAAUGCCGCGUGAGUGAUGAAGGCCUUAGGGUGUAAAGCUCUUUGGUCGGGACGGAUAAUGACGGUACCGCAGAAUAAGCCCGGCUAACUUCGUGCCAGCAGCCGC